UAGCAAUUUUAAUUACCAGGUGCUAGGGGUCGUUGCUUGUGGAGCUUGUUUUUUUUUUUUUGCUGUUGUUGUAAUUGGGCAGGCUGUUAAUAGGCUCCGCAGACGUCCUGAAGGUCCCUGAAAGCUGAAUGUGCUGUUUACUAAUCUGCUUGGGCUAGUAGAUUAGUUUGCCCUUUGAGAGAAUACGAAGGAUGAAUAUCUGCAUAGCCAGACUGCCAUUCAUGAGCUGCAUCUUGGCCAACAGGAGCAGUUGGGCAAACCCUCCCCAGCAUCGUCUUUCCUGGCUUGUAAGAAGAGAGAGUCAUUGCUUUAAAGACCCCACUGAGUCUCAGAAGAUCCACUACUUUCCAGAGAGAUGGCAAUUACCUGGAGGCAAGCGACAAAGCGCAGGUUGGGCCGGUGCAGCUGGUUUGUCUCACACAGCGCCAGCCGGUCCUGAUGGUGGUCCCAGGCACAGCUCCUUUUGUCAUUUCUUCAUUCCAGCCCAGGAACCUGUCAUCUCCUCUGAAGGCAGGCGUGGUUUGUGCCACCGAGAGCUAGUAGUGCCUUGGAAAUGUUACCGGUUCCUGGCUGUAGGCGUACAGAGCUGUAAAUGGCCUACAGGUUUGUGAGUACUGUGUGUGAAUUUUCGCUUUGAGAAGUGAAAAUGUUUUGUUGCUUGUUCAGCAGGAUCUGUCAGACAAAAUCUUGUGGCACCUGCCAUUGAAAUCAAGGGCAAAGCUGUGCCUGGAUUGAAAGCCUUGGGACUGAGCUGUCAGGUCCCUGUUGUGUAAAAAAAUAAAUAAAUAGAAAUGACAAAGUCUAAAUGCCUGAGAUUUCCAUAGUGGUACUUAAGGUCUUUGAUAAACAUUCAUAAACGUUCCCUUUCUACUGCUGGUUAAAUCCAUCAGGGCUUUGAAAUUGUUGAGACCUGGGAAAAAGUAGUUAAAUUGUUAGCACAGGUAGAAAGAAGCCCUGGAGAAAAGGGUACGGUGUUCAAUGUGCUCCCAGCCCCUUACUUUCUGUGGCACAGCUACUGCCAUUAACACCCUUUGGAAAACAUGGAUUCAUUCCCUUUCU
ensembl:lncRNA